AUGAACGCUGGCGGCGUGCCUAAUACAUGCAAGUCGAGCGAACGGACGAGAAGCUUGCUCCUCUGAUGUUAGCGGCGGACGGGUGAGUAACACGUGGAUAACCUACCUAUAAGACUGGGAUAACUUCGGGAAACCGUAGCUAAUACCGGAUAAUAUUUUGAACCGCAUGGUUCAAAAGUGAAAGACGGUCUUGCUGUCACUUAUAGAUGGAUCCGCGCUGCAUUAGCUAGUUGGUAAGGUAACGGCUUACCAAGGCAACGAUGCAUAGCCGACCUGAGAGGGUGAUCGGCCACACUGGAACUGAGACACGGUCCAGACUCCUACGGGAGGCAGCAGUAGGGAAUCUUCCGCAAUGGGCGAAAGCCUGACGGAGCAACGCCGCGUGAGUGAUGAAGGUCUUCGGAUCGUAAAACUCUGUUAUUAGGGAAGAACAUAUGUGUAAGUAACUGUGCACAUCUUGACGGUUCCUAAUCAGAAAGCCACGGCUAACUACGUG
rnacentral:rRNA from 1 species